UGAUGGCUGAUGAUGAUGGAAAAUUGACGGUGAUGAUUGAUGAUGGUGAAGCUGGGAGGCUCGAAGGGGUGGAGAACACAGGAAAAGGAAGACGAAGGGAUGGAAAGGGCUGACUACUAAAAUUCAAAGAGGGAGGAGUCUGAUAGUAUUCAUUUUUUUGGGGGGUCUGCGAUCAUUUUGGGGUUUUGGGUAGGGGUGUUCAAAACUACCCGAUCCGCAAUACCCGACCCGCUGACCCGCUGAUCCGGCACAAAUAAAGCGGGUAAUUUGCUGAUUUUUCUAAAUUAAAUGGGCCGGGUACCCGACCCGGUAAAUAUACCGUGUAACGGGUCGGGUCACGGGCUGCUGUUUUGAUUAAGCGGGUACCCGAAUACCAGUUAAAACCUAAAAAAUAUUAAUUCUUUUUAUGCGUGUUUCAUUGUUUUAUGUUGAUUGUUGGGCUUUGUUUAGAACAUUAGACUUUAGGGUUAUCAAACACUCCGCCGCUCGCCUCUCAUUCUCGAUUUCUCUCACCUCCUCUAUCACUCUCACCCUCUCUCGCAUUCACGCUCACUCUCUCAGGCCGGCAGGCCAGCAGAGCAGGCCAACAGGUCUACCGCCAGUCCACCGCCAGUACACCGACGCAGUAGUUCACUGACUCGCCAAUCAAGAUUCAAGAUUAUGGCAAUUGGUGGCGGAGAAAAUGACAUCGAAAUGUUCAAGUUGGUUGAUCUUGGUGUUGCUCUUAGUAAUGGGUCAGAGAAGACAAAAGUUGUGUGCUGAUAUGAUUGGUCUUAGCAAUGAUGAACAUGGGCUUGCUUCACAAUCUUAUUUUUCAUUCUCCGUUCUCUAUAUUAAUAUUGGUUUAAUUCGUUUUUGAUUCCUACAUAGAAAGAUAAACAUCAUUAUUUACAACAGAAUGAGAUUUCUUAAAACGGGUACCCGGUUUUUCCGGGUCGGAACGUGGGCCGACAAAAUGACUACCCGCAAUUCCGGGUACCCGCAUUUUCGGAUACCGUUUACCCGGGUACCCGGUAAUGAACACCCCUAGUUUUGGGGGUUCUUUUUUCCUUUUUUUUUUUUUACUCUUUUUCUUUUUCUCCUUGUUUUACUUCUCCUUUUAAGUCCCUUAAUUCCUUCUUAUUAUUGUCAGAUUUCUUUCUCUUUAAUUAAUUUCCCUCUUUUAUUUUUUUUAA